UUCUCUCUUCUAAAUUUUAUUUUAUUACAACUGGAGUGUUAUGUGGGAUAUGCCUAACUCUUGACGAUUGAAAGCACUUAUAAGCAAUUCUCUUAACAAUAUACCUAAUUUUUUACUGUAGUCUUUGAAGAUUUGUUAUUUUUUAUUGCAUCUUCUGGAUCUUCUUAUUCAUUUCUUGUCUAAAUUCAUCAUCACCUGCCAACACAUAUAUCUUCAAAGACAAACAUGGAAACUGUAUUUCCCACACUAAGGUAAUAUACUCAUUAUGCAGUUAGCUAGACUGAACAAAUCUUAGUCAAUUAUAGGUUCGACUUGCAAAUCCAGCUCCAUUAGGUUUUAAAGUGACCAUGAGACCACUGUAGAGCAGAGAAUAUAAACUAAAGUGUCCUUAUAAUGAGUGUUUGGACUUGUUUAAAUUAUCUUUUUUAUCUGUGUUAUAUCCGAUUUUGUCAGUCUUCCUUAAUUUUCUGAUAUAUAUGUUCUUGUUGGAUGAACUUAUACCCUAUACAAUUCACCUCUACCCUAAACCAGAUACCCUAAACUAGAGUAGUUUAUAGUAGGUUGGAUACAGUAUGGAUCCAAUAUGAAUCUUCAUACCUAACCUAAUUGUUUUCAGUAUAUAUAAUUUACCUUAAAUUCAGGCAGGAUUACUGGGAAAUAUGCAAAAUCUGUAUGAAACUGUGAAAAAAGCACAGAUGGUAGUCCAAGUUGAGGCUGUUCGUGUGCAGAAAGAACUUGCUGCGUAUGUGAAGAAUUGCUGUUUCCGUUUGUCACAAUGUCCAUUCUAUAUUCGUGAUCUGAGUUGUUUCAUUUCUUAUGUUCUGUUCUGUUGCGCAGUGCUGAGUUUGAUGGCUAUUGUGAAGGUGAACUGAUAAAGGUAUGCUUCGGAGUUAUUUAUUCUCUGUGCGCGUGCAUCUCACAUUUAAUAGCUGGAAAAUUAUUAAUCUUUCAUAAAUUCAUUUACUUUUUCUUCUAGGCAACACUCUCUGGCAACCAGCAACCAGUGAGCAUUGAGAUAACUGAAGCUGCAAUAGAACUAGGGCCCGAAGUGAGUAAAAUUAUCUUGGAUUACUUGAUUUCUUUCUUUUUCUUUUUUUUUUUUUUUUCUUUGGCCUAAGCAUUUUCUGUGCAGAAACUCUCUCUUCUGGUUACUGAGGCCUACAAGGAUGCACACCAGAAGAGUGUCAAGGUGAGUAACCUCUGAGGCCUACAAGCAUUUUGUAAUCUAUCUUAUGCUUCCCCUUCUCUCUAUCUUACAGGCUAUGAAGGAAAGAAUGGGCAAUCUUGCACAAAGUUUAGGGCUGCCACCAAAUCUCAAUGAGGAGUUGAAGUGAAGUUAAGUGUUUGGCAGUGCUUCAAUUUUGUAUGAGCUUUGCAGAAAAUAUUCAUUCGCAAUGUUGAUGGGUCACAUUUACUUUUUUAACUUCUAAUAUAUUACAGAUUAUUUGCACAUUGUUACUGGUACCACCAUAUAUUUAUUAUAUAUAAGCAAAGUAUAUAGAAGAAUAAAACGAAUAGCAUAUAUUAAAUACCAGAUGAACAUCUACACAAUCGAGCCCCAAAAGAAAUUCCUUAAUUUUCUGAUAUAUAUGUUCUUGUUGGAUGAACUUAUACCCUAUACAAUUCACCUCUACCCUAAACCAGAUACCCUAAACUAGAGUAGUUUAUAGUAGGUUGGAUACAGUAUGGAUCCAAUAUGAAUCUUCAUACCUAACCUAAUUGUUUUCAGUAUAUAUAAUUUACCUUAAAUUCAGGCAGGAUUACUGGGAAAUAUGCAAAAUCUGUAUGAAACUGUGAAAAAAGCACAGAUGGUAGUCCAAGUUGAGGCUGUUCGUGUGCAGAAAGAACUUGCUGCGUAUGUGAAGAAUUGCUGUUUCCGUUUGUCACAAUGUCCAUUCUAUAUUCGUGAUCUGAGUUGUUUCAUUUCUUAUGUUCUGUUCUGUUGCGCAGUGC
rnacentral:lncRNA from 1 species